UCACCGCUUGCGCGGGCAGUCUCAUUAGAGUCCCCAGCAUAACCUGUUGGCAACUAAUGAUAGGGGUUGCGCUCGUUGCGGGGCUUAACCCAACACCUCACGGCACGAGCUGACGACAGCCAUGCAGCACCUGUGCAAAUGUCCCGAAGGAAAGCCCUAUUUCUAGAGCGGUCAUUUGCAUGUCAAGUCUGGGUAAGGUUCUUCGCGUUGCAUCGAAUUAAACCACAUGCUCCACUGCUUGUGCGGGUCCCCGUCAAUUCUUUUGAGUUUCAGCCUUGCGACUGUACUCCCCAGGCGGUAUACUUAACGCGUUAGCUACGGCACAACUAGGGUUGAGUCCAGUUACACCAAGUAUACAUAGUUUACAGCAAGGACUAC
rnacentral:misc_RNA from 1 species